CAGUUGGGAAUCUUGCACAAUGGGGGAAACCCUGAUGCAGCGACGCCGCGUGGACGAUGAAGGCCUUAGGGUUGUAAAGUCCUUUUUUCAGGAAAGACUUAGGACGGUACCUGAAGAAUAAGCUCCGGCUAACUACGUGCCAGCAGCCGCGGUAAGACGUAGGGAGCAAGCGUUGUCCGGAUUUACUGGGCGUAAAGAGCGCGUAGGCGGCUCGUUAAGUGUGAAGUGAAAUCUCCAGUGCUCAACACGGAAACGGCUUUACAUACUGGCGAGCUUGAGGAAAGCAGAGAUAACUGGAAUUCCUGGUGUAGCGGUGAAAUGCGUUGAUAUCAGGAGGAACACCCAUGGCGAAGGCAGGUUAUUGGGCUUUAUCUGACGCUGAGGCGCGAAAGCGUGGGUAGCAAACAGGAUUAGA
rnacentral:rRNA from 1 species